GGUUGGUCCUCUCGCAACAAUAGUUCGUGAACUCGGUCAGAUCCGGAAGGAAGCAGCCGCAGCGAAUGACUUGUGUGCCGGGAUGUGGCUGGCCCCC
rnacentral:SRP_RNA from 1 species